AUAUGACAUCUUUGGAACGAGCCAUUUCCAUUUAUUCACACGUCCUUUUAGCUUUUCACUUAUGCCUUCCCGGUUUUUCUUAACAUAGCUGCUGUCUCCCAGGUACACUCCCAAAUAUUUAAAAUCACCUGUUCUCCAGGUCAAAUUAUCCGGGAGACAUGGUUCCCCACCUUUCCAAUCCCCAACUAAAAUGGCUUCCCUUUUGUUCCAGUUUACUUUUGCAGAAGAUAUCACAUUAAACUUAAUUAUGAUGUCAGUUAAAAUAUCAAUAUCUCUUUGUUCAGUCACCAUCACAACAACAUCAUCGGCAUAGGCAGAAACACAGUAUGGGGUAUUGCACCUUGGUAUAGACAGACCAGAAAUCUUGCUUCUUAUCUGACAUAGUAAAGGUUCUAUGGCUAGGGCGUAUAACAUGCCAGACAGAGAGCAGCCCUGCCUAAUAUACCCCUAUACACUUUAAAAGGCACAGAUAAACCACCGUUAACUUUCAGUACGCUCUCAAUGUCGCUGUACAGCACCUGGAUCAUGGCCUUGAACCCGGAGUUGAACCCAAAAUUCUCUAACGCCCUCCACAAAUACUGGUGUUCAACCCGGUCGAAAGCCUUCUCCUGAUCUAUGAAAAUAAGACCAGUCUUCAGCCCCAAUAGCCUAGAGACGUCCAAAAUGUCACGAAUUAAGUGUACAUUGUCGUGGAUAGACCUGCCAGGCACACAGUACGUCUGGUCAAAGUGGAUGACUUGCUCCAUCACCUUCCCUAGUCUUAUUGCUAAUGCUUUUGAGAGCACCUUGCAGUCUGUGCAGAGUAAGGAGACAGGGCGCCAGUUCCUAAGGUCAGUCUGGUCUCCCUUCUUUGGGAGUAGGGUCAGGACUGCUCUAUGGCUACUCAGCGGCAGUCUGCCUUCGCUUAUGUUCACCUUCAACACUUCCAGCAAGUCCUGCCCUAUCACUGACCAGAAAGCCUUAAAAAACUCAACCGAAAGCCCAUUGAUUCCAGGUGACCGCCCAUUUUGCAUGCUGUUGAUUGCAACCUCCAACUCAUCGAGGGUCAGCUCCCUGUCCAGUUCCCUAGCUGAAUCAUCGGUUAUUUUAGGAAGAUUCCCGACAAGAUCUUCCUCCACCUCCUGCACAGCUGCGAGCUCACUCCUGUACAGCUUUGAGUAAAAGCUGACUGUCUGCUUGCGAAUUUCAGUGGGAUCAGUUACAAGCUCCCCUGAAUCUGUACGCAAAGCAUGUAUGAACCUUUUCUGUCCAUUUUUUUUCUAAAAAAAAAUGGCACUUUUGCCACAUCCCACCAAUCUUGCAGUGAUGUAAAAGUCGGCUUCUCGAGCCUAAAAGCAUCCCAAAAGAAAAUAAAACUCUCUCUAAAAUUAACAUCAUCUAAAAGAGCAGUAUUAAAAUGCCAGUAGGCACUACGUGGCUUUACAUUGCUCUUCUUAAAAGUGCACUGUACCAUAAAAUGAUCUGAAAAACCCACAGGAUAAAUAACACAGGACCUAAAAAUAUUCAGCUGAUGUUUAAAAGUGUAAAAACGAUCAAGCCUUGCUAGUGAGAGGAGGUUCUCUUUACAAUGGGACCAGGUGUAUUGUCUCUCUGUUUCAAGGAAAGCCCUCCAAACAUCACUCAGGUCAUGUGUUGUGAUUAACUCACACAGGCGUUUGCGAGAGGCAGCAUGAGGUUCUAAAUGGUUCCUAUCUAAAACAUCUUCAGUGCAGUUAAAAUCCCCACCAAUGAUUAAAACUUCACUCUGACUACAGGAACCAAUGACAGUGCUUAAAAUGUUUAAGAACACCAUUCUCUCCACACUUAGGGUGGGAGCGUACACACAAAUAAAAACAAAAACCUCUUUCUCAUAAAACGCUCGCACUUUUAAAAGCCUGCCUUUUAAAACUUCUUCAACAUCAUAAGACUGUGGGCUAAAAGACUGUGAAAAUAAUUGCUAGAUGGCAAUAUGAUUCAGAAAGUUUUUAAACGAGCUUCUCUUUAUUUGAGACCAUCAGAGCCUCUUCAAGUAAGUAUAAGACAUAAACAAAACCAAUUUGAACCCCAAAGUAAUAUUUAGUUUAUUUUUUCAAAAGUUGAAAAGUUCAAUUUUUGUCAUACUUUUUGACAUUAAUACAAAUCUAACAGUGCAGUGGUGUACAGUAUUGUGGAUCAGGUUUGACUACAGGUUUCUUGUUUUUUGUAGUCUGUGUAUGGAGAAACCUCAGAUUCUGAAGAUAACUGUGGGGAAGAGGAGGUAGACAUAGGCGAUACGGAAGAUGAGUCCCCAUCAGAGUCCUCAAGAUAACAACAGGGUAUCACACCGUUGUUUCAGCAAGUGCUCAAAACUCAACAGCAGAGUUACCAGCAGCAGAGUCCCAUGCCAUGCCAAGAUCCAUUUCAGUGCAACAUGAAACAAUUGGCCAGGCCAGUGCCAGUUUUCAUCCAUCAACAAAUGCCCAAGCCUGUUCCAGCAACCAACAGGAAACACCAAAAAGCACCCGAGCUUCAUCACCACCAAACAGCUCCACCUCAAGGCGCUGGCAAAAUGAUUAUGGAACUUACAUUAAUCUCAUAGAUGAUGCCGAAGAUGAAGAUGAUGAUGAACAAUACACAGCUAUUAUUGCCAGUAUUGAGGACCAGACACGACCAAAAGAAGAAACCUCCAUAAGUGAAAUUUUAAAAGAACUCAGUGAACAGAUCACAAGCACAGGCAUUUGCAAAUUCAGUAGCAAUCGUACCGCAGUGCUUGAUGGAGCUAUUCGAGGCUUUCGAAGAAUAUCAUACAACCCAAACCACACAAUGUGCAUUAAGUUUUCUGAUGACAUGGGAACAACUGAAGAGGCUGUUGAUCUCGGUGGCCCACGACGAGAGUUUCUGCGGUUACUUAUGGAAGCCCUUUCUCAGUCUGAAAUGUUUGAGGGACAUCUGAACAUGGCUCUUGACUCCUUUGCUGUGCGGGAUGACAGAUAUUUUUUUGCUGGUCGAUCCACUGCUGUCAGCCUGGUUCAUGGAGGCCCACCACCAUGUCUCCUCUCUGAAACUCUUUUUAACUGCUUAGUUAAAGGACCAGAGAUGAGCAGACCAGUCAUUGAGGAUAUUGCAGACAAUGAACUUUAUGAAAAACUGAAAAAGGUCUCUGAAUCCAGAACUCUGGAAGAGCUUCAGACAUCCACAGAGCCGUUGACAGAUUAUUAAUUUCCUAAUGCUGGAUGCCUAAGACCUCUUGCAUGUUUGAAGGACAAGAAUCAGUUACUAGAGGACGUUGUAAUGUUUCAGGUGGUUCACCGUGUCCGUGGUCCCUUUGAAAGGUUUAGAGAUGGAUUGAAGACUCUUGGAGUGCUCCAGAAGAUUCAGCAACAUCCAGAGGCUUUUUGUGACGCCCUCUGCUACAGACCAAGGAACCUAACAGCAGACAUCAUGGACACACUGUUUGAAAUCAGAUGGUCAGAGACAGGGAGCAAUGCACGAGUGGAUGAGAACCAAGUGGUCGCCUAUUGGAGAGAUUACCUUCAGGAUGCUGAAGGUGGGCAUCUUUAGUGUUAUAACCUUUAGGAUAUUUUAGCAUACUGUCAGACACCAGUAACUGAUGUUAAAGAUGUUUGAAAGAUUGUAUUUAAAAAAAGAGAUACCUAUAGAGGGGAGAUACACUGCUGUUCAUAAGUUUGGGAUCACUGAAGUUUUUUACAGAAGACACUUAUGAUAAUCAAGGCUACAUUCAUCUGAUCAAAAUAACAGUAAUACUGUGUAAUAUGAUUUAAAAUAAGUUUAGUAUUUUAAUGUACUUUAAACUGUAAUUUAUUGUGUUGUGAAGCUGAAUUUUCUGUGAUACAUUCGUGAGGAUUUUUUUGAUGAAUAGAACAGCAACUAUUCAAAGUAGAAUUCUUUUUGUAACAGUUUUACUAUUACUUUUUAUCAGUUUAACACAUCUUUGCUGGAUAAAAAUACUGACCAAACUUGUGAACGGUACUGCACAUUAUAUUGUUAGAAAGAUUGUUAUAGAUGUUUUGAAUAGAUGCUGUUCUUUUCAUCUUUUUAUUUAUCAAACUAUCCUGAAAAAAGGAUCACAGUUUCCACAUAAAUCUGAAGCAGCAAAACUGUUUUCAACACUGAUGUUUCUUGAUCAUCAAAUCCUCAUAUUAGAAUGGUUUUUGAAGGAUCAUGUGACACUGAACACUGGAGUAAUGAUGCUGAAAAUUCAGCACAUCACGGGGAAUGCAUUUUAUCAUAUAUUCUAAUAGAAAGCAGUUAAUUUGUAAUGACUGUUUUACUGAACCCAAACUUUUAAACAGUAGUGCAUUUUUUGUUUAGUUUUUUGUCAGUAUGUUUGUUCCUUAUAGGAAUCAAACCUAUAAAGUAUAUCCAUUGUGAACUGUAUGCACCAGGUACCUGUCAUGUCGGUUAGUGUUUAGUGUAAGCCACUGUAUACAGGAUUAAUUAUUGAUCUUACCAACAUUUUUAAUCUUUUCUAUACUACC